GAAAUGCGAUACUUGGUGUGAAUUGCAGAAUCCCGUGAACCAUCGAGUCUUUGAACGCAAGUUGCGCCCGAAGCCAUUAGGCCGAGGGCACGUCUGCCUGGGUGUCACAAAUCGUCGUCCCCCCAUCCUUUUGGAUCAGGGACGGAAGUUGGUCUCCCGUGUGAUACCGCAUGCGGUUGGCCAAAAUCCGAGCUUAGGACGUCAGGAACGUCUCGACAUGCGGUGGUGAAAAAUCGUCUCAAUGUGUCGGACGAUCCUGUCCUUAAGCUCUCGAUGACCCAAAGUCCUCAACGCGACCCCAGGUCAGGCGGGAUUACCCGCUGAGUUUAA
rnacentral:misc_RNA from 1 species